rnacentral:rRNA from 1 species
GGGGAAUAUUGGGCAAUGGACGCAAGUCUGACCCAGCAACGCCGCGUGAAGGAAGAAGGCUUUCGGGUUGUAAACUUCUUUUAACAGGGAAGAGAAGAAGACGGUACCUGUUGAAUAAGCCACGGCUAACUACGUGCCAGCAGCCGCGGUAAUACGUAGGUGGCAAGCGUUGUCCGGAUUUACUGGGUGUAAAGGGCGUGUAGCCGGGAAGGCAAGUCAGAUGUGAAAUCUGGAGGCUCAACCUCCAAACUGCAUUUGAAACUGCUUUUCUUGAGUAUCGGAGAGGUAAUCGGAAUUCCUUGUGUAGCGGUGAAAUGCGUAGAUAUUAGGAGGAACACCAGUGGCGAAGGCGGCCUACUGGGCACCAACUGACGCUGAGGCUCGAAAGUAUGGGUAGCAAAC